rnacentral:rRNA from 1 species
UACGGGGGGGGCAAGCGUUGUUCGGAAUUAUUGGGCGUAAAGAGCUCGUAGGCGGUUUGUCGCGUCUGCCGUGAAAGUCCGGGGCUCAACUCCGGAUCUGCGGUGGGUACGGGCAGACUAGAGUGAUGUAGGGGAGACUGGAAUUCCUGGUGUAGCGGUGAAAUGCGCAGAUAUCAGGAGGAACACCGAUGGCGAAGGCGGCGACCUGGGUCGAUACUGACGCUGAGGCGCGAAAGCGUGGGGAGCAAACAGG